rfam:Clostridium sp. CAG:217 genomic scaffold, scf132
GUAAAUGCGCAGAAAGGGAGAAGUACCUGCACCCCUGGCAGAAAGAGAGCGCGCCGAAUGCUGAAAGGCGCGUAUGCUAAGCGGCAGCGAAAUGCACCCGGGAGCAGUGCGGCGGAAAUGAGUAUGCCGCAACGGUUUGCCCCGUUACCGGCCAAAGCGUUAGCUUGAGUAUAAACAAGAGUGGAACCGCAGUAUCGUUUUAUUGCCUCUGUC